ACGAGGUGCUGCAUGGUUGUCGUCAGCUCGUGCCGUGAGGUGUCGGGUUAAGUCCCAUAACGAGCGCAACCCCUACCUUUAGUUGCCAUCAGGUAAUGCUGGGGACUCUAAAGGAACUGCCUACGCAAGUAGUGAGGAAGGCGGGGAUGACGUCAAAUCAGCACGGCCCUUACGUCCAGGGCUACACACGUGCUACAAUGGCCGGUACAAAGGGCAGCUACCUGGUGACAGGAUGCUAAUCUCAAAAGCCGGUCUCAGUUCGGAUCGGAGUCUGCAACCCGACUCCGUGAAGUUGGAUUCGCUAGUAAUCGCGCAUCAGCCAUGGCGCGGUGAAUACGUUCCCGGGCCUU
rnacentral:rRNA from 1 species